rnacentral:lncRNA from 1 species
GGUCGUCCACCAGUAAAAUGCGGGAAUACAUUUCAGUUCUAGGUCGCCCACCAGUAAAAUGCGGGAAUACAUUUCAGUUCUAGGUCGCCCACCAGUAUAAUGCGGGAAUACAUUUCAGUUCUAGGUCGCCCACCAGUAAAAUGCGGGAAUACGUUUCAGUUCUAAGUCGCCCACCAGUAAAAUGCGGGAAUACGUUUCAGCUCUAGGUCGCCCACCAGUAAAAUGCGGGAAUACAUUUCAGCUCUAAGUCGCCCACCAGUAAAAUGCGGGAAUACAUUUCAGUUCUAGGUCGCCCACCAGUAAAAUGCAGGAAUACAUUUCAGUUCUAGGUCGCCCACCAGUAAAAUGCGGGAAUACGUUUCAGCUCUAGGUCGCCCACCAGUAAAAUGCGGGAAUACAUUUCAGUUCUAGGUCGCCCACCAGUAAAAUGCGGGAAUACAUUUCAGUUCUAGGUCGUCCACCAGUAUAAUGCGGGAAUACAUUUCAGUUCUAGGUCGCCCACCAGUAAAAUGCGGGAAUACAUUUCAGUUCUAGGUCGCCCACCAGUAAAAUGCGGGAAUACAUUUCAGUUCUAGGUCGCCCACCAGUAUAAUACGGGAAUACAUUUCAGUUCUAGGUCGCCCACCAGUAAAAUGCAGGAAUACAUUUCAGUUCUAGGUCGCCCACCAGUAAAAUGCGGGAAUACGUUUCAGUUCUAAGUCGCCCACCAGUAAAAUGCGGGAAUACGUUUCAGUUCUAGGUCGCCCACCAGUAAAAUGCGGGAAUACGUUUCAGCUCUAGGUCGCCCACCAGUAAAAUGCGGGAAUACAUUUCAGUUCUAGGUCGCCCACCAGUAAAAUACGGGAAUACGUUUCAGCUCUAGGUCGCCCACCAGUAAAAUGCGGGAAUACAUUUCAGUUCUAGGUCGCCCACCAGUAAAAUGUGGGAAUACAUUUCAGUUCUAGGUCGCCCACCAGUAAAAUACGGGAAUACGUUUCAGCUCUAGGUCGUCCACCAGUAAAAUGCGGAAAUACAUUUCAGUUCUAGGUAGCCCACCAGUAAAAUGCGGGAAUAUGUUUCAGAUCUAGGUCGCCCACCAGUAAAAUGCGGGAAUACAUUUCAGUUCUAGGUCGCCCACCAGUAAAAUGCGGGAAUACGUUCAGUUCUAGGUCGCCCACCAGUAAAAUGCGGGAAUACAUUUCAGUUCUAGGUCGCCCACCAGUAAAAUGCGGGAAUACAUUUCAGUUCUAGGUCGCCCACCAGUAAAAUGCGGGAAUACAUUCAUGUUCUAGGUCGCUCACCAGUAAAAUGCGGGAAUACAUUUAUGUUCUAGGUCGCCCACCAGUAAAAUGCGGGAAUACAUUAAGUUCUAGGUCGCCCACCAGUAUAAUGCGGGAAUACAUUUUUGUUCCAGGUCGCCCACCAGUAUAAUGCGGGAAUACAUUUCUGUUCUAGGUCGCCCACCAGUGUAAUGCGGGAAUUCAUUUUGUUCUAGGUCGCCCACCAGUAUAAUGCGGGAAUACAUUUUUGUUCUAGGUCGCCCACCAGUAUAAUGCGGGAAUACAUUUUUGUUCUAGGUCGCCCACCAGUAUAAUGCGGGAAUACAUUAUUGUUCUAGGUGGCCCACCAGUAUAAUGCGGGAAUACAUUUUUGUUCUAGGUCGCCCACCAGUAUAAUGCGGGAAUACAUUUCUGUUCUAGGUCGCCCACCAGUAUAAUGCGAGAAUACAUUU